UACCAGCACCCCGAGUGGUCGGGGCGAUUAUUGGGCCUAAAGCAUCCGUAGCCGGUUCUGCAAGUCCUCCGUUAAAUCCAGCUGCUCAACAGAUGGGCCGCGGAGGAUACUACAGAGCUAGGAGGCAGGAGAGGCAAGCGGUACUUAGUGGGUAGGGGUAAAAUCCGUUGGAUCCAUUGAAGACCACCAGUGGCGAAGGCGGCUUGCCAGAACGCACUCGACGGUGAGG
rnacentral:rRNA from 1 species